rnacentral:rRNA from 1 species
GACGAACGCUGGCGGCGUGCCUAAUACAUGCAAGUUGAGCGCUGAAGGUUGGUACUUGUACCAACUGGAUGAGCAGCGAACGGGUGAGUAACGCGUGGGGAAUCUGCCUUUGAGCGGGGGACAACAUUUGGAAACGAAUGCUAAUACCGCAUAAAAACUUUAAACACAAGUUUUAAGUUUGAAAGAUGCAAUUGCAUCACUCAAAGAUGAUCCCGCGUUGUAUUAGCUAGUUGGUGAGGUAAAGGCUCACCAAGGCGAUGAUACGUAGCCGACCUGAGAGGGUGAUCGGCCACAUUGGGACUGAGACACGGCCCAAACUCCUACGGGAGGCAGCAGUAGGGAAUCUUCGGCAAUGGGCGAAAGUCUGACCGAGCAACGCCGCGUGAGUGAAGAAGGUUUUCGGAUCGUAAAACUCUGUUGGUAGAGAAGAACGUUGGUGAGAGUGGAAAGCUCAUCAAGUGACGGUAACUACCCAGAAAGGGACGGCUAACUACGUG